AUUGAACGCUGGCGGCAGGCCUAACACAUGCAAGUCGAGCGGAUGAAGGGAGCUUGCUCCUGGAUUCAGCGGCGGACUGGUGUGUAAUGCCUAGGAAUCUGCCUGGUAGUGGGUGAUAACGUCCGGAAACGGGCGCUAAUACCGCAUACGUCUUGAGGGAGAAAGUGGGGGAUCUUCGGACCUCACGCUCUCAGAUGAUCCUAGGUCGGAUUAGCUAGUUUGUGGGGUAAAGGCCUACCAAGGCUACGAUCCGUAACUGGUCUGAGAGGAUGAUCAGUCACACUGGAACUGAGACACGGUCAAGAGUCCUACGGGAGGCAGCAGAGGGGAAAAUUGGACAAUGGGAGAAAGCCUGAUACAGCCAUGCGGAGUGUGUGAAGAAGGUCUUAGGAUUGUAAAGAACUUUAAGGUGGGAGGAAGGGCAGUAAGUUAAUACCUUGCUGUUUUGACGUUACCAACAGAAUAAGCACCGGCUAACUUCGUG
rnacentral:rRNA from 1 species